rnacentral:lncRNA from 1 species
AACCUCACCAACGGGCAAGGCGGAGGGAGACCUCACCAAGCGAGAGGGGAGUGAGACCUCAGCAACGGGAGGCGGGGAGGGAAGCACCUCGGCCAACGGGAGGCGGCCGGGGGAGUUAGACCUUCAGCAACGGGAGGCGGAGGAGAGACCCUCACCAAGGAGAGGCGGGAGUGAGACCUCAGCAACGGGAGGCGGGAGGGAGACCUCACCAAGGAGAGGCGGGAGUGAGACCUCAGCAACGGGAGGCGGGAGGGAGACCUCAGCAACGGGAGGCGGGAGUGAGAGCUCAGCAACCGGAGGCGGGAGGGAGAGCUCAGCAACGGGAGGAGGGAGGGAGACCUCAGCAACGGGAGGAGGGAGGGAGACCUCAGCAACGGGAGGCGGGAGGGAGACCUCACCAAUGAGAGGCAGGAGUGAAAGCACCGUCGCCGUCAGCUCGGGCCGCCACAAGAAGGUCCCGCAGCCUGGGCGGCCAUCCCUGCGGUCACCGGUGUCCCUGGGACGCACGAGCCAAGGUGCCGCCCCCCGCUUCAGGCCGCAGUGCGUGAGAAACAGCGCAGCCCGGCCGCACACGGCAUCCUGCCCUGGGACCGAGAGUGGGCUCCAGAGGAACGCGGAAAGCUGGGGCCGGGCCGGGCCGGGGGUUCACAGGGACAGUGAGCGCCUGGUUCUGGGCCGAUUCCCAGCUGUGCAGGUGCUGGCUCAGGCCACACGGGCCGGCGCUGUGGAGCUGUGCUCUCCUCGUGGCUAGUUAGGGGCCCAGGGCGCAGGUGGCUCCCUGAACUGAGCGCAGGACAAAUCCAGGGAAUGCUACGUCUGCUCAGGUGCGCGUCCGACGCAGGGAUCUACUGCGGCCACGCGACCCAGGACCAGCCCCGGGAGACGCAGACGGGUGCCGCUCACGUUCAGGGAACCAGGCGUAUAUGAGUCGACCACACACAACAGAUGCCACCGCAAUUCGGUAACAGUCUUGGUCAUAUGGUUUUUUGGGGUAAAAAGCACACUUAAAAGAAUCCUUUAGAAAACUCAAGCCCUACAGGCCACAGGCCGCUUUGAGUUCCUGCAAGUGUGGAUGACUCUUAGAGGGGCCGGGAGGCGGUGGCUGCUUUGAGGACACCUGGGCGGCACCGGCUCCCGCGGAAAUAUUUGAACGACCGCUAAGCCUGGGGCGCCACCUAGUCCGGGAUUGGAUGGAAACUGCUCCAGGCCUUGGGGGCUGCAACCUGGAGCUCCUGAGGGAAGGCGUGUGGUCUGCCCGCCCUUGCUCGGGUGUUAACAAGGAAGCCCCACAGCGCUGCUGGCCCUCGGGCCAGGAGCUUCAGGACCAGCGGCCCACACUGACCCUGUAGACGCCGGCAGGCAGAGGCCUCGGGCAGAGGCGUACGCGGGGACCCAGAUACCGGGCAGCGAGUGGGGAAGGAGAGGCAGCUGCAGACACAGAGCGGGGAGUGCGGGAGGAGAGGCAGCUGCAGACACAGAGCGGGGAGUGCGGGAGGAGAGGCAGCUGCAGACCCGCAGGCCCUGAGAGAAGAAGGGUGUGCUCGGUGUCCGCGCGGCCCGCCCGCCCCUGUGCCCCCGCGCACCGUGGUCAUUGUGCCGCGCCAGGUCGUCCGCGUCGAUGAGCAGGUCGUGGUCCGUGUCCAGCUCCCAGAACUUGCAGUAGAUGACGUAGAAAUGCUCGUACGAGAAGAAUUCGGUCAGCUGGUUGAUGUCCUCCUCCUCCUCCAGCAGCGCCACAUUCUGCCAAGGGACCCAGGCGGCCUGAGCGCGGGGCCUCUGCGGGGACGCCCCAAGUCCGCCUGGCUGCGGGCGGGGCAGGGAAGGCUGGGAGGGUCGGGGCGGCUCCGUGGGUGGGGGGGACUGGGCAGC